GGUAUUUUGACCGUGCAAAGGUAGCAUAAUCAUUAGUUUUUUAAUUGAAAGCUGGAAUGAAAGGUUGGAUGAAAAAUAAGCUGUCUCUAUUUAAAUUUAUUAGAAUUUUAUUUUUAAGUUAAAAAGCUUAAAUUUUAAUAGAAGACGAGAAGACCCUAUAGAGUUUUAUUUAUUUAAUAAAUAAAAAUAAUAGUAUUAAUUAUUUUUAUUUAUUAAAUAAAUUUAGUUGGGGUGAUUGAAAAAUUUAAUGAACUUUUUUUAUAUAUAUACAUUGAUUUAUGAUUAUUUGAUCCUUAGUUUAAGAUUAAAAGAUAAAAUUACCUUAGGGAUAACAGCGUAAUUUUUUUUGAGAGUUCUAAUCGAAAGAAAAGAUUGCGACCUCGAUGUGGGAUUAAAAUAAAAUUUUGGUGUAGAAGCUAAAA
rnacentral:rRNA from 1 species